GACCUCUGUCUCCCUGGCGAUCAAAGGCAGAGGCCCUCACCACCAGCUUCCCAAAAUGGGGCUCUCCAGCUCCGCCGGCUCUGGCCUUUGUGGGAGUUUACAGCCUUGAACUCCAGGUCCCCAAAUCAGUUCCUCCUGGUGUUGACUUGCAGCUGGAAAGGGCUGCAAUGAAGCAGAAGCCAGAAGGCCUAGGAAGCCAUGACCCCCGGCCCAAGUCAGUCCUCAGCUGCAUAACCCGUGUGGCCACUGGGCAGGGAAAGCGGCGGUUCCCAGGCCCCAUUCAUGCAACUCAGAAGUCCUGAAUCCUGAGGAACGCUGGCUCCUGUCUCCUGCUGUGGUUGCAGGUGCCAGGUCACGGGGGUCUUAUAAGGCAGGGCUGGAAGGAGGUGGGCCCCAGAGGGUCCAUUCCUUAAGUGUUGGCUUCAAGAUGGCCUGAGCCAUGGUGCACAGAGGUUCUGAGAACUGCCAAAGGGCAAUGUACUCUAAGAGUCAAGGUCACCAGCUGGUGACAAGGGCAAACCCAUUUGACCCACCUCUCCCACAGUGAAUACCCUGGAGAGAAAUGCAUUCUUGACUGUUCUCAGAACUCAUGUCCAGGCUUGAACUACCACAGAGCCCAUUUCUUUCCAGCUUUUCUUAGUUUUCUCCUUCUGGUAACCAAACUCCCCCUCACCUCUGAAAAGCAGCUUGAGGCUCGCCGCCUCCGGGAAGACCUCGCGGAGCAAGCCCACCCCUGGCUACUCUUUCCUUCCCUCCACGACCUUCCGGAUGCCACUGACAUGGCUUGAAUGGCUGGCAUGUGGCUGUGUCACCAUUCUCUUCAUUUAUAGCACAGAUUGCCAAGUCCCUGGCCUCCUUGAGGCCUCAGGUCGGGUAAGCUGUUAAAUGUUUGUAUCUGCACUGAGCCUCGUGCUCACUCUCCACACUUGGCAGCAAUUCCACCUAUUCCAGGGUCUCGAUGGUUCCAAAUUGCUGCUUAGAGCCUCCCAACAAUUCAGCCAGGCAGGCUGUGCGAUGCCCAUCUUACAGAGGACACCGCAGGUGGUCUGCAAACAGGUCAGAAAGUGAACCCAAGUCUAACAGAGACAAGAGGAACCCGGCCAUCAGAGAAUGAGGAGACAAGGAAACGGAUAGUAAUGUCAACAUUAAUAGCAUAAUAGCUACAUGGAGAAUUGUCACGGAGCUUCGAUGUCCAUUGUAUCACUUUGACCCUGUGAGAUAACAGAAAAGAUUUUGAUGCAUUUAUUUUAUAGGUGAUGAAACUGAAGCUUAAGUGGCUUUUCCAGGGUUACACAGCUAGCAGGAGGCCCAGCUUACCCCAAAGCUAGGAAGGACUUGAUUAUUCAGAAAAGGAAACUGACAAAGAGGCUGGGGUCUUUCCAAGCUCACACAGUUAGAGCAGAGGGGACCUCGGGGAUGUUCUGAGCCUCAGGCUCCACCAGACUUCCUCCAAGCCUGGCUCAGAGGUAGGAAUCUGUUCUUCUGGACAGUGCAGGGGGGCCCCUCCCCACCAGUCCCUGCCACCCAGGUCCUUCAGGACAUGUGAUCACAGCAUCACCUGCUCUGCCAUCAUUGCCUUGGCAGGUGCUCCACUGUUGUGCAACCAGGCCCGGGGCUGGGCUGGCCCCAUCAAAUCAACAGCUGGUUGGCUUGGGCCGGCUGAGUCUGCCCCUCUGGAGCUCAGCUGUGACAGCAAUGAAUCAUACUAAUGGAGAGAGGUGGCCAUUCCUUCUCUGUGGCCUGGAGACAGGUUUUCCCAAAACUCCUCCCCUGGCUCAGGCAAACACACCUGACCUUUCUCUCGCUGGGCCCAGGGUGAGGCAGAGCAGCCAGGAGCAAGGUGGGGUGAACCAGACAGAGCUGGAGUGCUCUCCCACCCCUGCUUUGCCCAGCCACCCCGCCAAGCCCAUGAUUCCAGGCAGGGUAAGGCCCUCCUCCCAGAGGAAGGGGCCAACAGUCCGGUGACCUUGGAGUGCGCUUCGCCUGGCACUCCCCUCACACUGCUCCCUACAGCUUGCACUCUGCCUCUGACUCUCUUCCAAGAACGAAUGGACAAGUUCUAAUCUACAUCUUGAAAAAAAAAAAAAAACCCAGAGAGGUAGGAGGGCCACAGCACCUGGGGUCCCAGAAGGCAGACUGCUGACACCUAUUCCUACUGUAGGGCUACAAACCAGUGCCACAUGCCUGGAGGCUGAGUGGACACUCCUGGUCCUCCUCACGGAGAUGUAUAGCACUCUGAGCUCUGAUCCAGUUGAUCUGUGUGAAGUCCCCAGACAAACACAUAACCAUUCAACUCCCACAGGAGGCUUCUUGGAGCACGGUCCAGCUAGUUCGUCUUGAAGGGACAGCCAUGCUCCAGGUGCAGUCUUGGGAGCCAUCUGAUCACUGUCCCUUCAUCCAAGCAUCUGCUUUCUGAAGGAGACGAGGCCAUGUGCUGUCAAGCGCUGUGGACACACAGCCUGGGGUCAAGUCCUAGCUCCUCCACCCCCAACUGGACCAGCCACUAUUUUACCUCUGACCGAUCUCAGAACACAGCUGGAUUACCAGGAGGAAAACUAAGUGAGUGCUUAGAGGCUGGCAAAGUAAGGAGAACCAUUUGUAGAUGAUGUGCUAGAGAUGCUGACCAUCAUUCCUUACUCUUAAUUAUUAUGAGAAAAAUGAGAACCCCCUCCUUGGACUUCCUUAUUCCUAUGCUGAAGUGUAAUGUUCUGUUUUUAACAAUGUAUGGGGGUAGCACACACAGUGCUUUGCAUGCCUGGGGCCUCUAAGGGUCUCAGUCUGGCCUUGCUCUGAAAUUGCUGCAAGGCCUGCCAAUUCCCUGAUGUAUCACGAGUGUUCCUGAACAAUAAGCUCAUUUACCAGGUCUAGCUGUGACCAGAUAUUUUUUAAUCACCAUGAUCACUGGGUUGACAGGUUGAGCUUGAGCUCCACCAUAAGCCUGAGUCUUUCCAAAGGCCUGGGGGACCGAAGGCAGAAGCAAGAGCACACGUAGAGAAGGCACUGAGCAAGCGGAUCUGUGCAGUUCUUCGGUUCUAAACAACUUGCAGAAUCCAGGCGGACUCAGGGCCUGUGUGGCCACUGGGCAGGGAAGGUGGUGGUUCCUAGGCCCAUCAAAACCCCAAGGAGCACUGACUUCUGUCUCCUGCUAUAGCUUCAGGUGCCAGGUUCACUGGGGUCUUAGAAGGUGGGGCUGGAAGGAGGUGGGCCCAGAGGGUUCCACUCCUUAAGUGCUGGCUUCAAGAUGGAAGAUAUUAAGACGUUCCAGGGGUUGAUUCUUUUUUUGAGACACCAAGAUGUUCCACGCUUCUGUAGAGCAGGCACAGUCCUUGCCCUCCAGGACUUGUAUCAAUAAAGACACAAAA